CUAGCUUGAAGUGCAGAUCGGUAUCUCUGCUGUUGUUCUUCCCAGUCUCUGAGGGCAAUUUUGUAGCUUUCAAUUUGUUGUUGAAGUGCCAUAUCUUCGACCUGAAAUCAAAGCGCAGACGUCCUCGUCGAAGCGAAAUCCACCCACGCCGUCCAGUUUUUCGAGAUUGACAUAGCCUUUCCAUCGCAGACACACCCCGUUGGCAAUGAUGGGCGAAUCCAAGUAGACCUGAAAAUGAAAUGUAGCGACAAUGAAACAAGUAAUGGCCGAAGGAAGUAGAAGUAGAAGUUUAUCAAAUUAAGAAGAAGAAGAAGCCAUAGCGCUAGGAAGCUAGCUGAAAUUCAUGGCACUACUCACUCACUCCAACACCAUCACAUCCAAAUGUAAUGAUUUAGCUAGCUGAGCUGUGAAAUGAAAAUGACUUCCCUAAUGGUUUAAUCAUCCUGCUUUGGCGAAAUUGGUCGCCAUGGAAGUUCUGCAUGCAGUUUCAAGGGCUCCAACGUAAUUCAUUUCAAGAAGGACGACAAGUAUCAAUAAUUCAAAUCGGGUCUUUCUUCCUCAUUUGCCAUCUUUCUUUUUUUACCCAUGUCCACUUCACAGUUGUCCAUGAAAAUAAAUGACCCUCAUUUCUCGUUCACA